ACACUCCUACGGGAGGCAGCAGUGGGGAAUUUUGGACAAUGGGCGAAAGCCUGAUCCAGCAAUGCCGCGUGAGUGAAGAAGGCCUUCGGGUUGUAAAGCUCUUUUGUCAGGGAAGAAACGGUGAGAGCUAAUAUCUUUUGCUAAUGACGGUACCUGAAGAAUAAGCACCGGCUAACUACGUGCCAGCAGCCGCGGUAAUACGUAGGGUGCAAGCGUUAAUCGGAAUUACUGGGCGUAAAGCGUGCGCAGGCGGUUUUGUAAGUCUGAUGUGAAAUCCCCGGGCUCAACCUGGGAAUUGCAUUGGAGACUGCAAGGCUAGAAUCUGGCAGAGGGGGGUAGAAUUCCACGUGUAGCAGUGAAAUGCGUAGAUAUGUGGAGGAACACCGAUGGCGAAGGCAGCCCCCUGGGUCAAGAUUGACGCUCAUGCACGAAAGCGUGGGGAGCAAACAGGAUUAGAUACCCCUGUAGUCCCAUG
rnacentral:rRNA from 1 species